CUUCAAACAGUUUUUAUUAGAAGGAUGGUUGUGAAAAAUGAAGUCCUUAUGCACAAAGCCACCGCGUUUCACUGCGAUGUUCACCUGGCCUAUGAAGAUCUCCGGACACAAAACCAAGCAACAAAAUCAGGAUGCAACAAGAUGGAGGGGCAAAGCACAGAAGAGGAGUGGACCCUGCCAUAGGUGAGGGUUGACAUCCUCUUACACCUGCCGCUUCAUGCUUGAGCUCAGGAUGGUGACGAGUCCAAUCUUGUGCACGUCUUGUACACAGAAGAGCAGCAGCUGCAAGCUCAGGAACAAAACGGCCACAUCAUGCACAGAAGACAGGGCCCCAUGAUAGAUACUCCAUUUCUUCCUCAGACAUCCACUCUGAGAAAACAGUUGAGUUUCACUGGCCAUGAGAACCAUCUGGAUUCCGGUGAUAACUGGAUCCUCCUGUUCCCAAGGCUACCCAUCAAGUAGGUGUGUGGUGAGACCCAGGAUUUUGUACCGAUAACAGGUGCUUGGGGGCUGGGACUCUGCUGUGCAAUCCACUGAUGUAGGAUCCUUAAACAUCUUCCACUUAGAUAGGUCUUCUCUGUCUUCCCCAGUGUCUGUGUGCCAGAUGUUGCUGGGGCUGCUCAGUCCUGCAAAGCUCUGUCGCCAGCCUUCUAGUAGAAGAAAUGUGCAAGCUGGAAGUGUCUCUUAGUCUCUUCACUGAUAGCCAAUGGAAUGUCCAUUUGAGCCAAUUUGGGGGAGAGUUUUUUAGCAGAAAUGAGGUGAACACUAAACGGCAAAAUGGAUCACCU
rnacentral:lncRNA from 1 species